rnacentral:rRNA from 1 species
UACUGUGGUUUUGGAGAGUAGGUCCACCCGUUCCCAUCCCGAACACGGAAGUUAAGCUGCUCAUCGCCGAUGAUACUUGCUUGGAGACGAGCCGGAAAAGUAGGUCGCCGCAGUUC